CAUGUGGGACCAUCUGUGUGCAGGGUCCAGCAGUCGGAGGCAGCCAUCAGCGCUCGUCUGCGUCGUUCGUUUCAUUUGUUGGUCUGUUGAAAGGUGAAAACCCUAGAUCGAGAUUGGCCCUCUCCUCCCCCAAUCCCCGCCCCCUCUCUCCACCCCAAUCAGACGCCUCCUGGCUUCCUCCCAAUCAGACGCCUCCUAGCUACGGGAGCCCCGACGGUGGCGGCGGCCGGAAUGGAACAGGUCGGCGGCAAGCAGGGCAAGAACGGGCGGCGGCGUCUCAUCUCUUUUCUCUCUCUCCAUAUUGGCCACGUGAAGCGCAGGAGGUUGAGGUUGAGGUUGAGGCAGCGGCGGCUGUGCUGGCCGCGGCAGACGUGAAGGAGGAGGGGCGCCUGGCCGAGGUCGGGCGGGAGGAGGCAGCGCGGCAGCGGUGGGGAGCGCGCUGCGAGCGACGGCGGCAGCUGGACGCGGUAGUGGUCGGCAGCUCCCCGAGCGAUGGGGGUGACUCGACGCGGCAGAGCAGCGGCAAGGAGUGCGCGCUCGGGCGCGCGCCAGCAGCCUGAUCCAAGGGAUGUUUGAGCCGGACGGCCGGCAGGCGGCAGGACGAGGUCGCCCCAUCCACCUCGUCUUCUCACGUCCAUUCCGGUCAAGAUCCGGAUCUCCCGCUCUCUCUCCUCCUGGUCUUCAACAGCACAUGGCAGAUGGGGAGGACGGCUGGGAGGUGGUGACUGCUUCACUAGAAUCCAUGAAGAAGCUGGAGCUUGUGGCGCCCUUUUGCUACAGCCUACAGGCUUAGGUAUGUGCUCUCUUCCCCCUCUCCUCUGAAAGAACCGAAUUUUUUGAAGCCUACGGUGAAAAUUUGACUGAGACGACGAGGUCAAGCGGCUAUCCAAGUCGACAAAGACCGAACCAUGAAGGAUCUGGGGCUGUUCGGGCCUGGAGUGAUUUGAUUUGCAGUGUGGGGGAAAGACAGUGCUAUGCGCAUGGCUUUUGUAUGCAUGUUGGUCGGGCGGGAGGAGGCGGCGCGUCAGCGGUGGGGAGCGCGCUGCAAGCGAUGGCGGCCACUAGAUGCGGAAGCGGCAGUGGCCGGCAGCGCCUCGAGCGAUGGGGGUGACUUGACGCGGCAAGGAGUGCGCGCGCCAGCAGUCUGAUUAGGUUACAUAUGUUUCAUAUCAGGUAAUUAUGGUAUCCACCGUCCUCCAAAAUUUCAGAAGGUAUUAUGGAUGAGAGAAAGGCACUAGCAAGUAUGACAACAGAGGAGAUUAUUGAUGUUGCUGCUUAUAGGUCAAAAGAGUGGGAAGAAACAAUGGGUGAUGAAAGCAAAGAAUUUGUGAAUUACAUGCGAAAGAGAGAGAAGCAAGAGAAAGCAAGAGGAGCUGUUCCCUCAAGCUCCAGAACCAAUGUGAAAAGUACAUCGAGAAGAUGAAGAAGUAACUUCAUGGGUUAUAAGGCGUACCUCUCUCUUGGCUUAUUACACUUAUCUCAUAAGGCAAUAUUAAGAAUCUGAUACUUGCUUGAGUCAACACGCGUCAGCGCCGGGCUUUGAUGGUUUUGGGGACAUGGAAAACAAAUGUAGCACACGUGCGUUUGAGAUUUAAGCUAAACCAUGUCUAGGAAAGAAGAGGUCAAGUGAUGCCAGACAACAGCGAGCAUGGCGCGCAACGCACCUGUCGGGACAGGCUGCCAGAGCGGUGUUCAUGACGACUGCUGCAACUUGGGGAGAGACUUCUGCAUUGAUGUACAACAAGUUGCCUGAAACCAGGGAAGGAAUACCCAAAUGUAUUCUCUAUAGCCUUCUGCAUUGACCCACAAGGUCUACUUGAUUUUUACAAAAUCUCGGUACCACCUUUCAUCAGCUAAGAUAAAAGAGGGUUCAAUCAUUGUUUGUUUUGUCAUGGACUCCCGCUAUUCCAGUAAAGGAUUUGAUGUGCUAAAAGAAUAACGUGUUGAAAAAAAUAGGCUUCAGCAACGACGAGCACGGCCAAGCUAGACACCAAGAUAUGCAAAAACAGUCCCAACCAGAGUUCGGGCCACCGAGGUUGUGCAGUAGCUGGCCCAUCUCGUGCGGCGAUCAUGUGUACACUUGGUCCUCGGUGGCGGUGGUAGUUCUCUCACACAUGGGGAUUCCAGUAACUAUUAGUUAUACGGGAAUAUGUACAUUUCCACAUGUUUUCUGUUUGAGGAGAGGUACAAAACAACUUACAUAUACUGCAACUUAUUUGGCUUUAUUGUUUAAAUAAAAACUUGUCACUGCCUAUGGCGGACACUCGAAUGUAUUGUUUCUGCUCCGUGUAUUAAUAUGUUGUGCUCAUGGAAGUUGGAGCACCGGAUCUUCGAAAUCUCGAACCUGGCCUGGAGCUACGGCAGACGUGCAAGGAUUUAGGGAGCUGGUGCAGCUGAUUUUUCUCUCCCUCCUGGUGCACACCCUUCCUUCUGUGGCCACUCCCAUGUUACUUUUUCUGCUCCUCUUCCGAUUUUGUACAUUUUCUCUUUUGUGUCUGUAUACACAUUUGCUUCUUAAUCGACUCUUGUGUUGUUGAUUGUUUUGCAACCUUACUGUUGGUUCAGAUAUAAGAGUAACACCUCAGAAAGGCUAUGGAUAUUUUUUUGGAGAAUUCAGUUAGUUAAUAUUGUAUAUGCUCAGGACAAAAAGCCUUUGCUGAAAAACUAAUAUAGCCACCACUUGUGU